CCGUUUUGGUAUGGUCGAUCGUGGCGCCACGUAGCGGCAUCUUCUUCAAAUGUUCGAUUGUUCAUUGGAAGAAGGGACAGUGCGCCCUGACUCCGCGGUACGGGCUGAACUUUAAAAGCACGCUUGGUCUUUGCAACCCUUCCGUAUUUGCUUCUUCGUCGCAUGUACGGUGUCUCGUUUCAAAACGAUGAAUGAAAGGGUACACGUACGCGCGCGAAAAUUACCUUACGCGAUUCUUAAUGUUUAUUGGACGCAAUUAAACGAAUUAGUUGCGACCACUUGCAAAAUUUUAUCUUAAUAAUACCGUGAAUAAAAUUACAAACAUUAAUAUUUCGAUGCUUUAAUUAAUCAUCAGUCAGUUUUUUUUAUUUCUUUCAAUUUAUAUCGAGAAUUUGAAGAACGAGAAGGAUAAUCGCGAACGAUAAAAAUAAAAAAAAAACACUCGGAAUAGAUAAUAUUAUAUUUGUAUACGACGAA